rnacentral:lncRNA from 1 species
AAUUAAUUUGCCCAUCUAUAGUUGUCUUCAAGAUUGUUGCCUGUUCCAUCGCCAACACCCCCCUCAAGUUGGAGGGGGCAGAGUGCAACCCAACUUGCCCAAAAACUCAUGAUGUGAAGGACCGAUAAGGGGCUUUGUAAAAAUGUCAGCUUUUUGACAAGAAGAUGGAACAAAUGAAAGAGAAAUUAAACCGGAAAGGUUUUGUUGCCGAACGAAAUAACAAUAUAAUUCAACAUGUUUUGUUCUUUCGUGAAAAACGCGAUUCUUUGCAAUAUGUAUUGCUUCUUAGCUAUCAGAGAAAAUUGGAACAGGAAGUGACGGAGGGCUACCAAGAUCCGAGAGAAGCCGGACUAACCAGGUGAUUUCUGCGACUACUCGUCGCAUCGAUCUAUACUCCGCCUCGGCGGAAGAUAAAGAAACUGAUGUUUGUUUCUUUGAUUUUCAUGAAAUAGGAGAUCUACCGAGACUAAUGAAGAAUGCACUUACAGAUUUUCGUGUGUUAGGGCAAGAUCCCCAAUCUGAAUCACAAAAGCAAGUAGAUGUAAAGCAGAAUCAGAACUCAUGAAAAGUCCUAUACCAGGAUCGUUAAGGAGAUAUCUGAGACAAUGAUAGGCAGCAUCAAGGUGAGGCUGUCUAGGGUCCUGCAUGUAUUGGCUGAGGUGUUGGACUGCAAAAGAGAGGUCCGGUUGGGUGUGUGCGAGGAAAUUUAGUUUGCCAAGAAGUCGCCGAUAUAAAUGUUGGAUCGGGAAUUUGCUCCCCAAAAUUGAGAAGAAGUUUGCAAUUAGGAUCAAGUGGUGAAGAUGUUUGCUUUGAGUCCUAGCAGCCAAAUUCAGACAAUAACUCAAUGGUAAACUUCCUCUGACUGAUUAUUAAACCUCCGAGUUCAUGCAGAAUCUCCAUCCCUAAGAAGAAAUGUGCUUGUCCAAGGUCUUUAAUAUUAAAUUCUGUAUCCAGAAAUUGUUUCAAAUCAGUCCCUGUUAGUAGGAUAUCGUCAACAUAAACUGCCACUAUCGAGAUAGAACUCCCAUUCCUCUUAAAAAAUAACGAAUAAUCAUUCAAAGAAUGAACAUAACCCUUAAAGUUCAAGGCUGCAGUAAGGCGAGCAUACCACUGUCGAGAUGCCUGUCGAAGACCAUAAAGUGAUUUUCGAAGUUUACAUACAUGAUUACUUGUAGGGGGUUGAAGACCAGCAGGGAAUUUCAUGUAAACUACCUCUUCUAAGUUGCCAUGUAGGAAUGCGUUAUUGACAUCUAACUGAAAUAACCCCCAUUUCUUCUUAAUUGCAACAGCGAGAAGACAUCUAAUAGUUGUCAUUUUAACAACUGGGGAAAACGUUUCUGUAAAAUCGAGUCCUUCCCUUUGAGUAUCACCUCUUAUCACGAGUCUGGACUUUAAUCUUUCAACAGCACCGUCAGACUUGUAUUUAAUUUUGUACACCCAUUUACAAGAUAUAGCUUUCUUACCAAUUGGAAGUUCAACCACUUCCCAGGUUUGAUUAGUCAUUAAAGCAUCAAUUUCCUUUUCCAUAGCUUCUUGUCAACCAGGGUGAAAACAGCUUGUGAGUAGGAAUUAGGUUCAUUGAUGUGAUAGAGAGAAUUUAAAAACUUUUGGUUAGUAUGAGAAAGUGCAGAAAAAGGAAUAGAGGGAGGGGGAGCUGCAGAGGAGAAAUAGAAAUCAGAGAUUAGUAUAAAAUACUGCGUUACAGGCAUCAUCAUUGAGAUGAGUUGGAAGUUUGUGUGUCCUUUUAGAUCUUCGAAGCUCCUGAAUAAUUGGUGAAACUGCUUCUGAAUUAGGAUCUGGAAAUAUACAAUUAGGUGGUGAACUAGGAGAGUGUGAAUCAUAGGUGGGAGUAAUAGCUGAAUCUGGAAAAUGAUAAUCUCUUGUGGAAAUAGUGAUGGAAUCAGUAGGCACAUGAUCAAUUAAAUCAUAUGGGGAUUCUGGAAAAUGAGGGGGAAAAAUAGGAUUAUCAGGUUUUUUAGGAGCAAAGGGAUAUAUUCUUUCAUGGAAAAUCACAUUUCUGGAAACAGAAAUUUCUUUGGUUUGUAAAUCUAAAACUUUGUAUCCCUUUUUUCCAAAUGGAUAACUUACAAAUACACGAGCACCCGCUCUAGACUCUAAUUUAUUUCUAUUAUGUGAGGGUGUGGAUACAUAGCAUAAACAUCCAAAGCACUUGAUGUGUUCAUAGGUAGGUACUUUCCUAAAAAGGAGUUCAUAGGGUGUCUUGUAUCCUUGUACCUUUGAAGGAAAUUUGAUUAAAUAAGUUGCUGUAAGCAAACAUUCUCCCCAAUAUUGGAUAGGCAGAUGUGACUGAAACAGAAGAGCUCUACAAGUUUCUGGAAGGUGCUUGUGUUUUCUUUCCACAAUUCCAUUUUGUUGUGGAGUAUAGACACAAGUGGUUUGAUGAAUAAUCCCUUGUGAAAUGAAAAAUUCGGAUUGUAAAUUGCUUGCCCCUAAUCCCAAGGCAUUAUCAGACCUAAUUGUUUUUACUUUUGUGCUAAAUUGCCUUUCUACCAUGAUAAGGAAUGAUUUUAGAAUAGCGAAUGCAUUGCUUUUGGUGAUCAUCAUAAAAGUCCAUGUCCCCCUACUAAAGUCGUCUACAAUAGUUAAGAAAUACUUAUGUCCGUGAUGAGUAGAUGUCUUAUAUGGUCCCCAAAUGUCUAUGUAAAUUAGUUCAAAAAUAUGUGUGAUGGAAAUAGAGCUUGAUGCAAAAGGAAGCUUUGAUUGUCUGGCUAAAGGACAUAUUUCAUAAGGAUCAGAGAAUUUAUUACCGUAUGAUAGUGGAAGGGACUUGAUGUUUUUCAUACUUGAAAAGGGGAUGUGUCUUAAUCUUGUAUGCCAUAAAGAUUCAUCACAAAUUUUCUGAACAGAAGAACAUAAUGGAUUAAAAAGUGAACUCUUUUCAUUGAUAGGCUUUGCAGGAUCAUUACACUUUGACAUGGGAAAAGGAAAGCAACUGGAAUGUAACAUAGCUACUGCUUUAUCUGUAGAUGAAAAUUUGCAUAAUUUGUGAACAAAGACAAGGUUAUAUUUAAAACUAGGCACAUAAAGAACAUUUUCAAGAGUGAGAUCAGGAAGGACACACACUUCCAAACUGAGACACUUUGACCCUAUAAGAGUUAGGUAAUUGAAUGUACAGAGGAACGGGAAGAGAUUUAAGAUUUGUAAAAUGUGACACUACUACAAAAAUGGGCUUUAGCGGCACUAUGAAAUGUCUUUAGCGGCAAUAAAAAUAGCCACUAUAUCCUUUACCGGCCAAUGAUAUUUAGCCGGCAACACGGUUGUCGGCAAAGCCUUUGGCGACCAUUCUCACAAAAGCCGGUGAAAGGUAUAAUUUAUUGCCGCUAAAAAUCGUUAGUUCUACCGGCAAUUAUUUGCGGCAAUAAUUUUGGCCGGUAAAUUAAAUCCAUAACAAACUAACUAUACUCUUUUAGCGUUCAUUUUUAUAGCCGACAAGUUCAAUUAAAUUGCCGCUAAAAGUCAGUAGCUUUAACGAUAAAUUUUUGUGGCAAUUAGAAUGACUACUAUAUCCUUCCCGUAAAUAUCUUAUUUUGACCUUUUAGAUUAUAUUUAAAUGCCAAGUAAAUUUAACUAAAUAUCGCUAAUAGUAAAAGAGUGUCUGUCGGUGGAAACAAAGGUAGGAAAAUACUAGAAAACAUAAUAUUGAUUCAUCUCAACACUUCAAGGGCUCUUUCUCUCUCCCUUCUCUCCCUUUCUCUCUCUUUCUCCUCCUCACCUUCCUCAAGCAAACACCACCAUCAACACCACCACCACCCACCCUCUGGCGAGCCGCUGGAACCACCAGCUUUUUCCUUUAUCCUAUUCGCCGAGGGUCGAUUGGAAACAGCCUCUCUGCCCUUUCGGGCAGGGGUAAGGCUCAUCUACAUAUUACCCUCCCCAGUAACUAUACUCUUUUAGCGUUCAUUUUUAUAGCCGACAAGUUCAAUUAAAUUGCCGCUAAAAGUCAGUAGCUUUAACGAUAAAUUUUUGUGGCAAUUAGAAUGACUACUAUAUCCUUCCCGUAAAUAUCUUAUUUUGACCUUUUAGAUUAUAUUUAAAUGCCAAGUAAAUUUAACUAAAUAUCGCUAAUAGUAAAAGAGUGUCUGUCGGUGGAAACAAAGGUAGGAAAAUACUAGAAAACAUAAUAUUGAUUCAUCUCAACACUUCAAGGGCUCUUUCUCUCUCCCUUCUCUCCCUUUCUCUCUCUUUCUCCUCCUCACCUUCCUCAAGCAAACACCACCAUCAACACCACCACCACCCACCCUCUGGCGAGCCGCUGGAACCACCAGGUAAGUACCCACCCUCUCCCCCCCUUCUCCCACCUUACCCCACUGCCCGGAACACUGUUCCGACAGUGUUUCGUCAUCUUUCGGGGGUCUCUUGGUGUCACCUCCCACACCAUCGUGACACACAGUGACAGGCGCGCAUUUCCGGUAAAUUUCAUCGCUGGAAACAGCCACACGCGCCGCCACUGUACCCCACGCGCCUCGCGCGUGAACCCACUUCCCGGCACUUUUUCCACCGGCUUCUUUUAGACAGUUUUCUCCCCCCAGAUUUCCGACCCACUUGGUACUCUCGGAAUAUUUUCCCGGUCACUUUCAUUCUUUAUUGUCCACUUAGCCAUCACAUAUUCUUCUCUCACUGACAUUCUCUCCCUAUUAUCGCUGUUUUUUAAUUUUAUUUACUAAUUAUCUGAUUAUCUCUCUGUUGGUUAGUACUAUUAUAAAGUAAAGAGCAGAGAUCUCUUAUUUAUUAAUUAUCUGAUUAUCUCUCUGUUUGUUAGUACUAUUAAUUUUCUUUUUUGCUGCUGUUUCUUUCCUUUUUUGCUGCUGUUUCUCUUAUUUGUUCGCCGCCUGUGUGUCUUAAAAGUUCUAACAUAUAUAUACACACUUGAAUUUUACACUACUGUUGUUUACUUUAUCAGCUGCUUGCUUCAUUUUUUAGGUCACUAACCUUACUUAUUAUUGACAGUUGUUUAUAGUUAUCUUUUUAGGUGACCUUUGUUUGUGGUUAUCUUUAAUUUAGGUGACCUAAUACGUUAAAAUUCUUCUUUAUUUCGGUGACUUAGUCACAACAGACACUGGGUUGUCCAGAGGUCUGGGAUUUUGUUUCCGACGGAAUUUCUUCUGGAAACCCUUGCAUUUUCCCUUUUUAUUCUCCCCUCUGCUUUUGUGGGUGUAUUUUGUUUUCUUGGAUAGGUACCUAUUCCACCGGCGAGGAUCUCCGACAACUAUCGUUCAAACUCUCAUUCAGACUCGCGGCAGGACGCAA